rnacentral:rRNA from 1 species
CCUACGGGUGGCAGCAGUGGGGAAUAUUGCACAAUGGGGGAAACCCUGAUGCAGCAACGCCGCGUGAGUGAUGAAGGCAUUCGGGUUGUAAAGCUCUGUCUUCUGGGACGAUAAUGACUGUACCUGAGGAGGCAGCCACGGCUAACUACGUGCCAGCAGCCGCGGGAAUAUGUAGGGGGCGAGCGUGGUCCGGAUGUACUGGGCGAAAAGGGAUCGGAGGGGGACUUUUAAGUGAGAUGUGAAAGACCCGGGCUCAACUUGAGUGCUUCAUUUAAAACUGGAAGGUUAGAGUGCAGGAGAGGAGAAUGGAAUGCAUAGUGUAGCGGUGAAAUGCGUAGAGAUUAGGAAGAACACCAGUUGCGAAGGCGAUUCUCUGGACUGUAACUGACGCUGAGGCUCGAAAGCGUGGGGAGCAAACAGGAUUAGAUACCCGGGUAGUC